rnacentral:lncRNA from 1 species
AAGAUUCUUAAAUGGGUGUGGACUUUUUUAUUUUUAUAAUAAUGUUCUUUUGUGGGUAGUUAUUUUAUAGCUGUAAAACAAAAACUGAUUUAAAAAUUAAGGACAAAGUUACAAAAGCAAUGAAAGUUAAGUUGUUAAAGUUAUGGACAAGUGGCAUUGUUUUACUGAUACCAAUAGCCACUCCCAACAUAAAUAAGUUGCUAUAGCAGCUGCUGUAUCAUUGUGUCUCAUGAUCAUCCAGCAUCCUUUCCACUGUCCCUUCAUUCAUGCUUCUGUGCAGUUUUCUUGAAACUGCAGUGCCACUUAGUUUUACUGGGCAUGAACUCAGCCUACACCUGUCCCUUUCUCUUUGGCCAGUGAAAAUGACUGUAGUUAUUAGUUGACGUUCACAGAGUACAUUUUAAUUGCUGUUAUUAUUAUUGUUGUUGUUGUUUUGAGACAAAGUCAUACUCUAUCGCCCAGGCUGGAGUCAGUGGCAUGAUCAUAGCUCACUGCAGCCUCAAGCUCCAAGCUCAAGUGAUCCUCCUGCCUCAGCCUCCAAAGUAGGUGGGACUACAGGUACACAUCACCAUGCCCAGUUAAUUUUAAAAAAAAUAUUUUUGAGAGAUGAGGUCUCACUAUGUUGCCUAGGCUGAUCUCAAACUCCUGGGCUUAAGUGAUCCUCCGACCUCACCCUCCCAAAGUGUUGGGAUUACAGGUAUGAACCACUGUGCCUGGCCCAUAGCAGCAUUUAUAAUAGCAAAAAAACCAGAUAUCACCCAAAUGUUAAUUGACUAAAUAAAUCAUGGUGUAUUUAUAUAAUAGAAUACUGUACAAAGAUGAGAAUUAAUGAACCACAGAUAUAUUCCAAAAUACAGGUUCAUUUUAGAAGCAUAAUGUUUGCCAAAAAGUGAGUCACAAAAAGCGAUGUAUAAUAUACCCCUUCUCUAGAACUCAAAGCAGACACAUUGCCACCCUAGGGUCUUGGCGUUGGUCAUUUCCUGUACCUGGAACAUUUGUCUCCCACACUUCUGCAAAGCUUAUUCCUUUACCUCUCUCAGAUCUUUGCUAAAAUGGCACCACUGACCCUUCUGUGUAAAGUCACAAUCCUAGUGUACGCAAUCCCUCUCACUUCCCUCUACUUUCUCUAUUUUCCACAGCACACCAUAGCACCAUCAUCUUCUAACAGCAUCUGCUGUAUUUAUUUUGUGGAUGGUUUACUGACAGUCUCCCCAGGUAGAAACACAAGUUCUAGGAGAGUAAGGCUCUUUGUUUUAUUCAGGUACAUCUUAAAUGACUAGAACCCUGCUUACACAAAACAGGCACUCAAUACAUAUUAUAUAUAUUUUUCUUUUUUUUUUUUGGCAGAGUCUCACUCUGUCACCCAGGCUGGAGUGCAGUGGUGCUAUCUUGGCUUACUGCAACCUCCACCUCCGGGGUUCAAGCGGUUCUCCUGCUUCAGCCUCCUGAGUAGCUGGGAUUACAGGCGCCCACCACCACACCCGGCUAAUUUUUGUAUUUUUAAUAGAGACAGGGUUUCACCAUCUUGGCCAGGCUGGUCUUGAACUCCUGACCUCAAGUGAUCUGCCUGCCUUGGCCUCCCAAAGUGCUGGGAUUACAGGCGUGAGCCACCUUGCCUGGCCUCAAUACAUAUUUUUACCCUCUUCCUGCCUGCCACUUCUACCUCACUGCCUCAGCUUAGUGUCUUAUGAAGACUACCAAUGGUUGUUAUACCACAUGUAUUCAGGAGCAGUUGACAUAAUGUAACUUUUGCCUGGUGGCCUACAGAAGUUUACCCAUCCAUUUAUUCAUUCAUCUGAACCACACUUGUGUGAAUGAAGCAGACAAAUAGGUGAUGAGGCCAUAAAGAAAUUCCUUGUGGCAUGGGAUCUGGCCAGUCCCUUACACAUGAGAGGCUGUCACUGAGGGCCCUUCUGGAUGAGAUCAUCAUAGAUGAUGUCUACACAACCACACAUCACUUUCAUCACUACGUAAAUCAAAGCCAUCAUUCAUGUUACAUUGCUAAGGCUGCCUCUUGCUGAAAAUGUGACCACUUGAGCAUCAAUAAGAACACAAAUAGCAACGGAAGAAAACACAUUCCUCUGUUUAAGUCCAUUCCUUCAUACCGAUACUCAAAACCAAGAGCAAUAUCUACUGCAACAAAUUGAGACGGGAUUGUUCCCUUGACCUUGACAUGCUUUGUAGGCGGGAACUGGAGUGGCGCAUUUCACUCAGCCCGCUGCUGGCCACUCCUCGCGAGAGGGAGCGUGUGAGCAGGGAUCAGCACAAAUGAAACAGACAUGGUCACCUCCCAGGGAGGACUUGAGGACAGUGGGAGGCACUCCCUCCAGCCAUGGUUCUGACAGCACCAGGCAGGCUGGGAAGGGCACCUCUGCUGAACAACCGUGUGCUCAAGGCCGCACAAUUCAUUCUUUCAAGUCCCACAUCUACUUCACCUUGUUUUAAGGGAUGAUGGUAUAAAUAAGAGCUACAGUAGCAGCCACAGAAGGAAAGCAGGGUGGAAAUGCAUUCUGGAUGGUCCUCUAAAGUAAAAAUAAAUAAGAACUCUGUGUCGUUGAAUAAAUCCUCUCUUCUCUCAUGCGCCCUGCACUUCCAUAGGCUGGGCAGUUCGUGCUUGGAAAGAUGCUCAGCCCAGACGUGAAGUGUCUGGCCCCCACUGGUGCCGUUUUUGGAGAAAGCCAGUGAACAGGGGGCCACUCCUGCACUGGGGCUUGGAUCUCUGGUGGAACCUGAUUCUGAGGAUUUCAUAGCUGUUUCCUCUCAUCCUCAUUUGUUUCCUUUCUUUCUUUCUUUUUUUUUUUUUUUUUUUUUUUUUUGAGAUGGAGUCUCGCUCUGUCACCCAGGCUGGAGUGCAGUGGCGCGAUCUUGG